GUCUACAGCCAUGCCACCCUGAACAAGCCUGAUCCUGUCCUAAGCAGGGUCAGGCCUGGUUACUACUUGGGUGGGAGACCACCUAGGAAGACCAGACGGUGUAGGCG
rnacentral:rRNA from 1 species